rnacentral:rRNA from 1 species
ACGGGAGGCAGCAGUGGGGAAUAUUGGGCAAUGGGGGAAACCCUGACCCAGCAACGCCGCGUGAAGGAAGAAGGCCUUCGGGUUGUAAACUUCUUUUACCAGGGACGAUAAUGACGGUACCUGGAGAAAAAGCAACGGCUAACUACGUGCCAGCAGCCGCGGUAAUACGUAGGUUGCAAGCGUUGUCCGGAUUUACUGGGUGUAAAGGGCGUGUAGGCGGAGCUGCAAGUCAGAUGUGAAAUCCACGGGCUCAACUCGUGAACUGCAUUUGAAACUGCUGAUCUUGAGUAUCGGAGAGGCAAUCGGAAUUCCUUGUGUAGCGGUGAAAUGCGUAGAUAUAAGGAGGAACACCAGUGGCGAAGGCGGAUUGCUGGACGACAACUGACGGUGAGGCGCGAAAGCGUGGGGAGCAAACAGGAUUAGAUACCCUGGUA